GAAAACUAUUAAGACUUCCAGAUCAUCAUCAACUAUGCCGAACAAGAAUAUCUCUCUCUCUCUCUCUCUCACUAACAGCAAAAAAAUAAUAGCACUGGAGGUGCAACCAACCAAACGUAACAAACACUGCCACCACAGGUAUAUGUAAUAGAUACUCAGAUACUCAGUUCCCUUUGCCCGAUAUAGGGUUACACAAUGACGAAUCUAGGUAGGUAAGAAGAUAGGUGGGUGGGAUCUAGAGGCGCGACAAAAACGACGACGACGGUUUCACUACGAUAUAAGUAUCUGGCUUCCAAAAGAUCAAGAGCAGCAUAGCUGCGCCGUCAUCGUCUAGCUUGAAGGCGUCGCCGUGGCCAGACACAUCUGCGUCUUGACGGCUUCCUUGUAGGUCUUGUGCUGGUAGG
rnacentral:lncRNA from 1 species